AUUGAACGCUGGCGGCAGGCCUAACACAUGCAAGUCGAACGAGUGGCGGACGGGUGAGUAAUGUGUGGGAAACUGCCUGAUGGAGGGGGAUAACUACUGGAAACGGUGGCUAAUACCGCAUACCCUCAGAUGCGCCCAGAUGGGCUUAUCUUGUUGGUGGGGUAACGGCUCACCAGGGCGACGAUCCCUAGCUGGUCUGAGAGGAUGAGCGGCCACACUGGGACGGAGACACGGUCAAGACUCCUACGGGAGGCAGCAGGAGGGAAUAUUCGACAAUGGGCGCAAGCCUGAUGCAGCCAUGCCGCGUGUAUGAAGAAGGCCUUCGGGUUGUAAAGUUCUUUCAGCGGGGAGGCGUUACCCAAAGAAAAAGCACCGGCUAACUCCGUGCCAGCAGCCGCGGUAAUAC
rnacentral:rRNA from 1 species